AGAAUAACAUGUUUUCCCUUAACUGCCGUGGAAUGGUUGCAUCUUUCUUUUUCUUUUAAAGAGAAAAUAAAUGUAUUCUAACCUUUGAUUCUUCGCUUGACAGUGCUUGCGAAGGUGUAAGAGAAGGUGGAGUAUGGAUCCAAGAUUCUGCAAAGCUUGCUAGAAUGAGGACUGAGGAGGCAAUCAUAUUAGUGUCUUUGCAGUUCCUAGUGAAGAAGGAGAAGAAGAGUACAUAUCCAAGAUUGUCCAAGGCCUGUGUAUAAAGUUUUAAGCUAUUAAUAAAAGUCUUGAGAACCAUGACCCUGUGAAUAAUGGUUUCUCGAGUAAAAAAACCGUUAUGCAACUUCUGAUACAAAUAAUUACACAUGGAAUGGCAAUGCCUAUGUAGAGUUCAUAAACACACAAUCCCCCUUUGAUACACACAUGACUCCCCUAGUAUUUCGUUGGAUCACAGGGUGUAGACCAAAUUUGUAGUCUUUCUUUUCAAUCACACAUGUUCCUUUCUUCAUUCACCGUGAUACAUACUAGCCCUGUUCAGUCCAUGAUGAGGUAUUGAGGUUAGAAACCCAUAUCUGGGAAGGAAGCAUAGCAGCGCAACAUAUGACGUAUAAUUUGGUUGUGGCUAUUUAUUGUUCUUCACAUGUUUGAUUAAAUGCCUCUAAAAGGAGAGAACCACCUCAUUGACAAAGGAAUGAUGAAAACCAUCUACAGCAGAGAGAGGGGGAAACAAGGUUUUUAGCAAACCUAUUUAAGAAAUUUGGAUACCAAAAAAAUCAUUGCCAGGAGUGAUUACGAAGAAAGAUGGCAAGGCGGCCAUGGCUGUCCCCGAGGAGCCCAUGAUUAUCGGGACUCCUGAAUUGGACCUCAUUAGUCAUUACGGUGGGCCGGUUUAUGCGGAGAAGAUACCUAACUGCGAGCUAACUGUGGAGGACGGCAGAAGGUUCGCUAAGGAGUAUACUCGAGUGCUUAACUAGGCAGGCGGCAGAGACCGAAUUUCUGAAUUUGAAGGAGGCCAUUGAAACGCCGCCCGAGAAGUUGAAUGCAACUGCUUUGGUUCCAGAUCUGUCGCCGUUCCCCGCCAAUAGGUUUAUGGCAACGUUCUUUACACCGCCGAUUGAAGGGUAUAUUGAGAAAUUGAUGGAAGCGGGCAGGAGAGCGUUGGGAAGGAGAAUCUCAGAUGAUUGAGGGUUAGUAGUCAUUGAGCUUUUCCUCUUGUUCGUUACUCUUCUUUACUUCCAUAAAGACUGCUGUUAAGUUAAUUUUUUAGAUAAAGGUUGUUGAAUUGAACAUCAUUUGAUAGAUUAUUGUUUUUGAAUUUUAGUCUAUUGAAAUAAGAGAGGCCAUUCCAGAAUCUGGAGAGGCUUUCUGUAUGAUUUGUUUGUCUAUUUUCCUGCUACUAGAAUGAAAUAAACCCCAAGGCAGGAGGCAGCUCCUCUAGUUUGCCUUCUCGUUGGAGGAAUAUUAUAAAUCUUCUAUAUUGUGCACUCUGAAGUAGGUUUGCCUUAGACAUUUUGCUUGUAAUAUUGCUUUUCCUUCUCGCAACUGAUGGCAUUGAAACUUUUCUGAGGGUUAGAUCUAGAUGUACAUACCAUUGCAGUAAAUUAUCAAUCUCAUAAAUCUGGCUUAAUGCUUGACACACUUAUGCUUGGAGCCCUGUACGAUACUAACGGCUGAAUCUUUCCUUUUGUUUGUCUUCCUGUGAUCUACGAUUCAAUGCCAUCAAGUUCCAUUGUUUUGGUCAGAUACAGAUUCAUACUGAUGGGUAUAUCACUUAUGGUCAUCAAUUCUUGCUAAAAUAAUACAAGACAAUGAUUUUCUUUUGACAGAGUAGUAAAUUCCUGGGGCAUGCUUUUCUAUAGUAUCUGGAGGCAUGCCAAGACUAGUUCAAAUGUCCAAGAAUUAUGUGCUGCACAUUCAGUGGUGGUGGUGGCCUUAGUUGGGAAAUUUACCAUCAAAUUUUACUGCACAAAUGAAGGACACGAUGAAAGGGGAGAUUUGCUAAGCUUGGGAUCCUGUCGACUGUCGUUAG